rnacentral:rRNA from 1 species
GGGUNNUAUUUUGAACCUAAAGAAUUUGGCGGUUUUUAAACUUACUAGAGGAACCUGUCCUGUAAUCGAUAGUCCACGAAUUAAUUUACCUAUUUUUGUUAUCAGCUUAUAUACCGCCGUUUAGUGAAUUAAAUAAAUAAGUUCUCUUAAUUAAUUAGUUAAGGAAAUCAGGUCAAGGUGUAGUUAAUAAAUAGGAAGAGAUGGGUUACAAUAAUAUUUUAUAACGAAUUACGGGCCUUACUGCUGGUAUGAAGGUGGAUUUAGAAGUAAAAUUUUACUAUUUUGAAGCAAGCUCUUAAAAAUGUAC